AUUGAACGCUGGCGGCAGGCCUAACACAUGCAAGUCGAACGAGUGGCGGAUGGGUGAGUAAUGUCUGGGAAACUGCCUGAUGGUGGGGGAUAACUACUGGAAACUGUAGCUCAUACCGCAUACCAUCGGAUGAGCCCAGAUGGGUUUAGCUAGUAGUUGGGGUAAAGGCUCACCUAGGCGACGAUCCCUAGCUGGUCUGAGAGGAUGACCAGCCACACUGGAACUGAGACACGGUCCAGACUCCUACGGGUGGCAGCAGUGUGGAAUAUUUCACAAUGGGCGCAAGCCUGAUGCAGCCAUGCCGCGUGUAUGAAGAAGGCCUUCGGGUUGUAAAGUACUUUCAGCGGGGAGGCGUUACCCGCAGAAGAAGCACCGGCUAACUCCGUGCCAGCAGCCGCGGUAAUAC
rnacentral:rRNA from 1 species